UAUUGCUAUAUAUGGAAACUUAAAUUUAUUUCAAAGUACCUCUGUUGCAAUAUAUGGAAAAUUAAUUUUACUUCAUAGUAGACGGCUGUGACGAAAAGACAGUUGUUCAUAAAAAAUAACACAAACAAUUAAAACAACUAGAAUACAAAAACUAUGCGAUUACAACCAUCAAAACAAUUUUGAACAUGUACUGCAUCAUCCUACGAGCGUCUUGGUCGGUCUUAAUAUCCACCCAUUCACACACUUCUCCGCUUUGGUUGAACGUGGACACAAGCCAUUGUAUUCUUCUAAUCCGUUCAUC
rnacentral:lncRNA from 1 species